rnacentral:snoRNA from 14 species
AGCACUCAUUUCAAGCCGUCCGAGCAAAAACGAGUUGCUCUGCGGUCGGGUGACGUGCAAGAC